UAUGUAGCUAGGCGUUUAAUGUCUAUUUCAAAAAGUUGUUAACUAAAUUAUAUAUUCAAAAUUUUCCUUUAAAAAAUGUAUAAUUUUGUAUAAUGGAAAAGUAUAUAGAGUACAAAUGCUGCAAUCCGGCAUCUAGCCUCAGCACGUCUAGCUCAACAAAAAUAUUUUGUGAUGGGGAAAAACUGUGCAAUCCAUGUGGAUGUUAUCGUUGCUGUAAGUCCGCAUUUUUUAAUGAUCAUACCUAUUCUAUCUUGAAGAGGAUAUGUCAUAAGAUAAUACAAAAUCAAAGCCGGCAAAGGUGUCGCGAAAACUAUUCCGUUUUCGAUGGUGGCAAUAGCACAAUCAUUAGACCCGCAUUCAAAGGACAACAAGAUGGGACUGAUCUAUUUAAUAAUUGUAUUCCGACCCAAAGUGUGUCACUCAAAAGCGGACAUAGAGAACAAAAACAUGAAUAUGUUCGUGUGCCUGACUUAAAAAGAAAUGAAAU